UACGUAGGCAGCAAGCGUUGUUCGGAGUUACUGGGCGUAAAGGGUGUGUAGGCGGUUGUUUAAGUUUGGUGUGAAAUCUCCCGGCUCAACUGGGAGGGUGCGCCGAAUACUGAAUGACUAGAGUGCGGGAGAGGUGAGUGGAAUUCCUGGUGUAGCGGUGAAAUGCGUAGAUAUCAGGAGGAACACCGAUGGUGUAGACGGCUCACUGGACCGUAACUGACGCUGAGACACGAAAGCGUGGGUAGCAAACAGG
rnacentral:rRNA from 1 species